UUAUUUCAUCGGGUCAAAGAAACACGAGUGUAUUUGUUAUCGGAUCUUAAUAACACAUGAAACCCUAGAUAAAUCGAUAAUAAAAUAUACAUGUCAGCCUCUUUCGAAUCAAUGAUAACCUAGAGGUCUCCUCUUAGAUCAAGCAGAGGAGGCGGCAGUGAAGAAUCUUUUAUCAUGUUUUCAUUCGAUUAAGAUCAACUCGAGUGAUGAAACCAAUCUGCAUCCAAAUUGGAGCUGUGUUUGAUUCCGGUGGAUGGUAAGAUAUUACGGCAUUUGUAGCUCAGGAUAGAGUGAGAACGACGAGAAUAACCUUGAUUUCUUAUAAUUCGAUUUCGUGUUGUGUUUUAGAGUGAUUAAGGUUCAUAAGUUUCUGUUGGAGAGCUCCACCACGAUGACUAUGGUGUGUUGUUGGCGAUGAUGCUCAUGGUGGAAAAUUAAAUUGGAGAAGCUUAACAAGGAUUCAAGAGGUUUCAGAUGGUUCUGCAUACGCACAAAAGAGAUGACCUUUAAGUGAUUCAUUGGAAAGCCUCUUGGAAGGGGCACGUCUUUCUCGCGGGUUCUUUUCGAGAGCCAGCUUCAACAAUCAUAAGUCGAACAUCUUCUCAGGAGAGAAGUAGAGAUAAAGUCUCUCAUCUUCAACAUAAAGAAUCUACAUUGGUUAUCUCUACGAUCAAAACAUAGUUUAUUUGAUACUUUAGUAUGCUUCUAAAGUGAUAAGAACUUAAGAAAUGCAGAUAUAUCAACGAGAGACGACGACUUGCAACCGUAUAGUUGUAUUAAUGUGACUUCACAUUUUGGGUUCGGUGGUUCCAUUCCACAAAGAUGCAUCACUAUUGAACUGCAAAAUAUCCAAAAUAUGGAGAAGGAAUAAACAUGGAGAAGAUUUGAGAAAGUUUCAGUACAACACUACAGUAGAAGAGAAGCAUAUAAUAAGUAGAGAAUAAGUGAAGGUGAUGAGACAGAUAUGUGUACCUUUCGUUUAUAUAAAUUUUGGUAAUACUGUACCAAGCCCACAUAGUUUACUUAGAUUUAAUAUAUUUAGUCCAUUACGUAUAUACAUACUUAUAUUAACCAAAAAUAUAUAUUUCAUGUAUUUAUAUUGAUCAUUUUAAAAACA